GUUGCCACUUAUCCGCAUCCUGAUCCAUUAGGAGUUAUCCAUUUAGAGUUCUACGGCCAACGUCCAUGGAGACCUGGAAAAGUAACUGCGGAGCCACCAGAUCCACAAUUAGAAUUAAAUGGGAUACAUGCUAUACAGUUUCUAGAGAAGCAGAUUAACCAUUCUAAUAUUAUUAUCGCUUUACAUGGGAUGGCAAUUUCACAAUAUAAGACUUACAGAUGCCCCAGAACAAGGAGACAUUUAGUGCUACAAAUGGCAGAUGAAUAUUAUAAUUCUAAAGACUAUGGGAAAAGUCUUACUUUAUUAACCCAUAUGUUGUGGGACUUCAGAACGGAGAGGUGGUUCAACAUAUUGUCCCAAAUAUUAGAAAAAGCUUUAAAGUGUGCAUAUUUAACUGCUAAUAUUCAGGAUUAUGUUCUUUUAGCAGUAGAAAUAUUAGGCUCAUCUGUUUGCAUAAGUUUGGAUGACAAACGGCGGACUUACGAAAAUUUAAAUAGAAUAUUAAA